AGCAGCCGCGGUAAUUCCAGCUCCAAUAGCGUAUAUUAAAGUUGUUGCAGUUAAAAAGCUCGUAGUUGAAUUUCGGGAUCAAGGAAUCGGUCAUGCCUCGGUAUGUACUGGUUUUAUUGGUUCUCACCUUCUAAAGAACCAUAAUGUCAUUUAUUUGAUGUUAUGGGGAAUUAGGACUGUUACCUUGAAAAAAUUAGAGUGUUUAAAGCAGGCUUACGCUUGAAUACAUUAGCAUGGAAUAAUGAAAUAGGACAUCAGAUUCUAUUUUGUUGGUUUCUAGGAUCGAUGUAAUGAUUAAUAGGGAUAGUUGGGGGCAUUAGUAUUCAAUCGUCAGAGGUGAAAUUCUUGGAUUUAUUGAAGACUAACUACUGCGAAAGCAUUUGCCAAGGAUGUUUUCAUUAAUCAAGAACGAAAGUUAGGGGAUCGAAGACGAUCAGAUACCGUCGUAGUCUUAACCAUAAACUAUGCCGACUAGGGAUCGGAUGAUGUUAUUUUUAGUUGACUCAUUCGGCAACCG
rnacentral:rRNA from 1 species